rnacentral:rRNA from 1 species
GAGACUGGAAUUCCUGGUGUAGCGGUGAAAUGCGCAGAUAUCAGGAGGAACACCGGUGGCGAAGGCGGGUCUCUGGGCCGAUACUGACGCUGAGGAGCGAAAGCGUGGGGAGCGAACAGGAUUAGAUACCCUGGUAGUCCACGCCGUAAACGGUGGGUGCUAGGUGUGGGGGACUUCCACGUCCUCCGUGCCGCAGCUAACGCAUUAAGCACCCCGCCUGGGGAGUACGGCCGCAAGGCUAAAACUCAAAGGAAUUGACGGGGGCCCGCACAAGCGGCGGAGCAUGUGGAUUAAUUCGAUGCAACGCGAAGAACCUUACCUGGGCUUGA